UUCGUAGGCGAUUUGUUUUGCUGCUGAGGGAACAGCUGCCGCCAAUUCGCUUCUUCUUUUUGGUCGAGCACGCAGCCCUGGUCGACGACAAGAAUACCGAUUUUAUGCUGUCAUCUCUAACAUAUUAGGUCUUUCGCGAAAUGGCAGACCCCGUGAACAGUCGAAACAAGAUCAACAAAAAAAGUGAAAAAGGCUGCAUUGAAAGAGCCACCUGGCGUCUUAAAGUUAGACGCUUAUCACCCCGUUUCAUGGCUUCGAGUUUUUGUCAGAUGCCCUGGUUACCAAAACAACCAAAGCAGCCGCAUAUCACAAGUUUCAUGGAUAAUAAGCGCGCAACGAUAAUUAAGACAUGUCCGGGACCUUAAAUCUGCACUGUUCCCUUUCACCGAAGAACUGCAGUGCAUCUGAAGAUUAGCUGCAAGUAAUGCCAAUUUGCAGAUUGAUUGCGCGAUACGAAACACAUGUGGAUGUUCAGAGCUGAAAUGGAUUGCUUUCCAUGGGGACAGGAUUGGAUGGUUACCUAGGCUAUGAGCAAGGACUCGUAUGCAUAUAUGUAUGUAGUAUCAAGCGGUGCAAUGAGAAGAAAAUAGAAAGCGCACGCGUCUCUUGCUGCUCUCAAAUACACGGAUGGCCGAUGGGACUCGGCUCGCCAAUCGAUGUCCCAACAGUUCCAGUUGGAGAGUGAAUGCCCCGUCAACACAACCUUGUUUCCGCAGAAACGCUGCUGAGUCGUUGAUCCGUCCAAACUUGAGUGUACCUUCGAUCUGGAUAACAAGUUCUCCAUCGAAGGGACCGGUUUCCACUCAGAAUAAUGCCAAGUCGGAUUAGAGCGCAGGCUAAGAUUAGAAUACAUAUAAUACACAACAUAACAAAAUGUGUAGAUUUUGUACAUAUAUCAAUAA